rnacentral:rRNA from 1 species
CCUACGGGAGGCAGCAGUGAGGAAUAUUGGUCAAUGGACGAGAGUCUGAACCAGCCACGUAGCGUGAAGGAUGACUGCCCUAUGGGCUGUAAACUUCUUUUAUAUGGGAAUAAAAUGUUCCACGUGUGGGAUUUUGUAUGUACCAUAUGAAUAAGGAUCGGCUAACUCCGUGCCAGCAGCCGCGGUAAUACGGAGGAUCCGAGCGUUAUCCGGAUUGAUUGGGUUUAAAGGGAGCGUAGGUGGAUUGUUAAGUCCGUUGUGAAAGUUUGCGGCUCAACCGUAAAAUUGCAGUUGAAACUGGCAGUCUUGAGUACAGUAGAGGUGGGCGGAAUUCGUGGUGUAGCGGUGAAAUGCUUAGAUAUCACGAAGAACUCCGAUUGCGAAGGCAGCUCACUGGACUGCAACUGACACUGAGGCUCGAAAGUGUGGGUAUCAAACAGGAUUAGAUACCCCAGUAGUC